GAAACACUGAAAAAGAGAGCUGUAGACCCAGAGCUGCUAGGAUUAAAAUGGGGAGGUAGGCUUUACAUUAAAAGGCUCAAAGGCAUAUAAAAACCCUCAGACUGGAAAUGUGUCAGAUUACCCAGGGCAGCUGCGCUCUGAUGAAAAAGUAGAGAAAUUGGCCCCACGAAAAAUAGUCACAACAGAACACCUGAUGGAGAACACUUCUCUCUUUUUUUAGGACUGGUGUGCUCAGCCCCUCCCCUACCUUCAUCUCUUGAUCAUCUCUAAUGAAAGACACAAUGAAGAGACCUUUUAUAAAGGACAAUGAAGAGAAGAUAGUUUUUCCAGUGCUUAUUUGAUUGGACACUUUUCAUAAGUGCUGGUGUGUGACAAGCAAAAGGUAGAGGAAAACAAAGAAACUCCAGCUGCUAUGGAACGGUCUAAAUACAGGGGCUAAACUUCCUGGCAUUGUCUCAUGGUAUUGAAACAAAUACUGAGAAUCUGAAGGGAUGCAUCAGGACUGUUACUGAGGGGAUGGAUUGCUGAUGUGACAGAAACUGCUGCAUAUGAAAGGGUGAUAUAUGGAAUGGAAAGUAAGUCAGAUGAAUUUGAAGGUAUUUGUAAUCUAUUCUCCAGCUACAUCAGAAGAAAUGUCCUGAAAUAUGAUAGAAGAUAGUGGAGAGAGGUUGAAGGGUGAAUGAAAGCUUUUGUUUCAAAAGGUAAUAAUAAUAACAACUUAUCUCCCUGCUUUUCUAUUGCUGUAUUUUCCUUUAUUUUUCUUCCUUCCUGGGAGAUAAGGAUGGGCUGCAGUUACACAUGAAAAAUAAGUGAAAGUCACGUAAAUUUUUCAGUACAUGUGUUCUGUUUGCAAAAAGACAGCAUAAGAAUCUGAUGAAAAAAGAGCAAUAGGAAGACAUGUAAGCAUGUAAAAAUCCACUCCAGGCAGUAGAUGUAUGCAACUUUCUGGAAUCUCUUGGUGGAGCAUGUAUUAAAUUUCUGCUUUUCAGUUGAUCUGAUACAGGUGUAGCGACGACCACAGGCCGAUGUCAUUAAUUGUAAUGUUCUGUAGGAGUAAUCAAUGAACUCUGUUUCCUGAAAACAGUUUCACCUUUGAGCUAUUAGCGCUAUAAUGAGGAGGGAGCAGUAUAUACUUACAUAAAGAACUUAGAAUCUAUUAGCACCUGUGCUGAGCACUAGAGCUGCUGAUACUUUGCAUGCAAAUUGUAGUCAUCAUCUGAGAAGAAGCAGAGUUCAUAGGUUCAAUAUUCUCUCACUUUCAAUCUCCUAUGUCAGCUAUGUCUUAACCAGCUGGGGGCAGAAUUACAUUCUGGAAAUUAGUGAGAAAAAAAGGUAAAAAUUGAAAAUCUACUGUUUCUGCAUCUAGCCUCCCCAUUCAUAUGUUACAAGUCAGCAUGAAAAAUUCUAGCAAGUAUAAAUGAUAUCUGAUUUCACAUUAUAUUUUUUAAGUGUCAGUACUCAAGUAGGUUUACAUUUGACAGGUGAUUUAAAUACUUCAGGAUGUUUCUAUAGCCAUAAGAAAAAAUCUUUAUCAGGAUAAAAAAAUUGAUGAAACUAUUAAUUUUGUACUAAUGCAAGGAACAUUACUACUCUUUCUUAUGUGCAGAUGUAUGAGGCAUUAUAUUCAUCUUUAUAAUUUUUCUAAAUUUUUCAUUGCCUGAGGAUAUUUCAGGGACAGAUCAUUUAUAUUGUUUAUACUAUAUUUAUCUUCUAUACCGAUUCUUGAAUGCUAUGCUCUGAGUAUACACCUUAUUAUGAUUCGUGCAAUCUUUCCAUAAUGCUGAGAUAGACACAUCUGUUUUUCUGUAAGUCUUCUAAUUUUUUAUUUUUGGCAAAGAAAUGGUGUUUUUUUUCACUGUAUGCCAAAUAUAUGCCAAAAUAACAUUUUCUUACCUACAGCAAAUGUAUGGCUCAGCCAUCUCACAAGCUUUAAUACCUUUUUCCUCACCUCUCUCUAAAAAGAAACAAUUGUGAUGAAUCUCUAUGCUCAGUUUUUGAUCAGCAUGAAACAGUUCUCUGCUUAAUCCUAUCUGAAAUAAAAUUAAAAUGGGUCUGUUGUGAACAUUGCUACUCAGAAAGGAGACAUUAAGAUCCCAACCAUAUACCAGCAGAGUAAAACAGUGCACAGAGUGAAUGAAUCAGUAUUGAGAAAAGCACUCCUAUGGGCAACAAAUAUUUUGCAUCUCUGGCUCACUUUCUCAGUAGGUUCAUGGAAGUUAAAUCUUGUUAAAUAUGAAAUCUCCCAAAAUGUGACAAUCUUUUGCCAGUGAAAAUAAGAAUAAUCCACAGGAUUUGUGUUGGCUUCAAAAUCUAGCAAUUUUCAAAUAUUUCUGAAAAUUCAUGAGUUUUUGUUU